rnacentral:tRNA from 1 species
CAAAGCGUAGCUUAAACAAAGCAUCCGGCUUACACCCGGAAGACUUCAGAUAUACUGACCGCUUUGA